ensembl:lncRNA
CCCACUCCAGUGUUCUUGCCUGGAGAACCCCAUGGACAGAGGAGCCUGGUGGGCUGCAGUCCAUGGGGUUGCAAAGAGUCAGACGACUGAGCGAACAGCCGCUGUGUCUGUGGAGGCUGGUGACGACCCCCAUCUCCAGGAUCACAAGGAGGACUCGGCUCUGACAGAGAGCCCGCCUGUCUGUAGCUGUCCCAACAUUUUUCUCAAAGACUCUCCCUCCGCAAAAUCCUGCUCCAAACCCAUGAUUUGCAAGAAACAUUCCCGAUUUGACCAUGGUGUCUCCUCAUUUGCCCACUUGCUCGAAUCGUGUGGUUAGAAGGAGCUGGCAAACUUUAAUUGAUUUCAGAAAGGACCGACCAGCCCUAGACAGCUGCUGAUUUCUCCCAGCAACAGCCGUAGAGCCCUGGCACCUUCUGGAUAAGUCAGUCCAUCAGGCCGCCUUCUGCAUGGAUGUUUCCUAAGAGAAGCAGACAUCACAGCAGCUUCUCUUUCCACCACCUUCUGUCUCUUUCUCUUCUGAAAAAAUAUGUCUUUAUUUGGCUGAGCCAGGUCUUAGUUGCAGCAUGUGGGAUCUAGUUCCCUGACCAGGAACCGAACCCUGGUCCUCAGCAUUAGGAGCACGGAGUCUUAGCCACUGGACCACCAGGGAAGUCCCAUCCACUGCCUUUCCUCCUACAAACCUGACUCCCAAACAAUCAGAUAGGAGACAGCCCUUCUCCUCACACUGUUACUGGUCAUUGCUGAAUUAACACUGUUUUGUACUUUCAUAAAAUCUUUAUGUUUGCUCACCUAUGAUACCCUCCUGUUCAAAAGCCUGUAGCUUUCCCCAGCCUUCCAGGGUACCAAGAACUGGAAACCUUUAAGGUAGAGCAUCUUUUGAGGAUAUAUACGUACUAAGUCGCUUCAGUCAUGUCCGACUCUGCGACCCCAUGGACUGUAGCCCACCAGGCUCCUCUGUCCAUGGGGUUUUCCAGUACUCUUCCCUGGGAAAUCCCAUGGACAGAGGAACCUGGUGGCUAUAGUCCAUGGAGUCGCAAAGAGUCGGAUGGGACAGCACUCACGCACAAUCCUACUUUGGUUUAUUAUCUCAGGAGACAGGGCUUGAGUGCUUUGAGAACGCUCCGUCCUUGUUUCUCUUACCUCCUUUCUGCAGGUGGUCCACAGUAGCCCCUUUUGUAAUUUGGACUUUAUUUGAGAUGCCCGGUGCUAGGCUUGUGAGAUGGAGAAGUUUUUCUGGCAGAGCUGACAGCAAGUCUUCAACAUGAAGACUUUUUUUUUUUUUUUUGAUCUGGUGUCUAUUUAAUUGACAGUUUCAACUCUGCAUGAACCAGGAAGUUUGGCCACUUAGCUUCCUUGUGAUCUCGGGAGAAGGAGGUGAGGAAUGAACACGCUUGAUAGGAAAGAGAGAUGGAAGGAAGAGAUCUCUUGGAAAGCCAGUGGUGGUGCCGAGGGGACCUGACCACGGCUCACUGCCGGCGCGUGGUGGGCGCUGGGCUGGAGGUGGUGAUGGAGCAAGCUUUCCUCCUACCCGCUGGGCGGCUGCCAGCGCAGGUUUUCAUGAUUUCAUUUACAUAGCACCGCAGCUGCUGAGUUUUGAACAUUGAAAGCAGCCCGUUAAUAAGCCUUUGCUUCAUAGUUUGGGUGUGAGGGGAGUGACACUUUCUUUAACCUGCAAAGUGCCCUGCCCAGUGCCGUGUGGGAGCCAGUUAGUGCUGAAAGGGGUCCCUUUCUGUGGCAGAGGGACUCUGCCCUGGGAGGCAUCACGGGGUCCUGCUCCCUGGAGAUCCAUUGCUCUGUUGGAAGAAAGACC